rnacentral:rRNA from 1 species
GACGAACGCUGGCGGCGUGCUUAACACAUGCAAGUCGAACGGAAAGGCCCUGCUUUUGUGGGGUGCUCGAGUGGCGAACGGGUGAGUAACACGUGAGUAACCUGCCCUUGACUUUGGGAUAACUUCAGGAAACUGGGGCUAAUACCGGAUAGGAGCUCCUGCUGCAUGGUGGGGGUUGGAAAGUUUCGGCGGUUGGGGAUGGACUCGCGGCUUAUCAGCUUGUUGGUGGGGUAGUGGCUUACCAAGGCUUUGACGGGUAGCCGGCCUGAGAGGGUGACCGGCGACAAUGGGACUGAGAUACGGCCCAGACUCGUACGGGAGGCAGCAGGGGGGAAUAUUGCACAGUGGGCGGAAGCCUGAUGCAGCAGCGUCGCGUGCGGGAUGACGGCCUUCGGGUUGUAAAACGCUUUCGCCUGUGACCAAGCGUGAGUGACGGUAAUGGGUAAAGAAGCACCGGCUAACUACGUG